rnacentral:rRNA from 1 species
UACAGAGGUCUCAAGCGUUGUUCGGAUUCAUUGGGCGUAAAGGGUGCGUAGGCGGCGCGGUAAGUCGGGUGUGAAAUCUCGGAGCUUAACUCCGAAACUGCAUUCGAUACUGCCGUGCUUGAGGACUGGAGAGGAGACGUGGAAUUUACGGUGUAGCGGUGAAAUGCGUAGAUAUCGUGAAGGAAGACCAGUGGCGAAGGCGGGAUCU